rnacentral:rRNA from 1 species
GCCAGACUCCUACGGGAGGCAGCAGUGGGGGAUAUUGCACAAUGGGGGGAACCCUGAUGCAGCGACGCCGCGUGGGUGAAGAAGUAUUUCGGUAUGUAAAGCCCUAUCGGCAGGGAAGAAAUUGGACGGUACCUGACUAAGAAGCCCCGGCUAACUACGUGCCAGCAGCCGCGGUAAUACGUAGGGGGCAAGCGUUAUCCGGAUUCACUGGGUGUAAAGGGAGCGUAGACGGCCAUGCAAGCCUGGAGUGAAAGCCCGGGGCCCAACCCCGGGACUGCUCUGGGAACUGUGCGGCUGGAGUGCGGGAGGGGCAGGCGGAAUUCCUGGUGUAGCGGUGAAAUGCGUAGAUAUCAGGAGGAACACCGGCGGCGAAGGCGGCCUGCUGGACCGCGACUGACGUUGAGGCUCGAAAGCGUGGGGAGCAAACAGGAUUAGAUACCCCAGUAC